UCCCUUCGGGGCAUUGGAGACAGGUGGUGCAUGGUUGUCGUCAGCUCGUGUCGUGAGAUGUUGGGUUAAGUCCCGCAACGAGCGCAACCCCUAUUUCCAGUAGCCAGCAAGAAAGAUGGGAACUCUGGAGAGACUGCCCGGGAUAACUGGGAGGAAGGCGGGGAUGACGUCAAAUCAUCAUGCCCCUUAUGAUCAGGGCUACACACGUGCUACAAUGGCGUAAACAAAGGGAAGCGAAGUGGUGACACGAAGCAAAUCCGAAAAACAACGUCUCAGUUCGGAUUGUAGUCUGCAACUCGACUACAUGAAGCUGGAAUCGCUAGUAAUCGCGAAUCAGAAUGUCGCGGUGAAUACGUUCCCGGGUCUUGUACACACCGCCCGUCACACCAUGGGAGUCGGAAAUGCCCGAAGUCAGUGACCCAACCGAGAGGAGGGAGCUGCCGAAGGUGGAGCCGGUAACUGGGGUGAAGUCGUAACAAGGUAGCCGUAUCGGAAGGUGCGGC
rnacentral:rRNA from 1 species